rnacentral:rRNA from 1 species
UACGAAGGGGGCUAGCGUUGCUCGGAAUCACUGGGCGUAAAGGGUGCGUAGGCGGGUCUUUAAGUCAGGGGUGAAAUCCUGGAGCUCAACUCCAGAACUGCCUUUGAUACUGGCAAUCUUGAGUCCGGAAGAGGUGAGUGGAACUCCUAGUGUAGAGGUGGAAUUCGUAGAUAUUAGGAAGAACACCAGCGGCGAAGGCGGCUCACUGGUCCGGUACUGACGCUGAGGUGCGAAAGCGUGGGGAGCAAACAGG